CUACGAGUUUGAUCCUGGCUCAGAACGAACGCUGGCGGCAGGCCUAACACAUGCAAGUCGAGCGCGCCUUCGGGGUGAGCGGCGGACGGGUGAGUAACGCGUGGGAACGUGCCCUUUUCUACGGAAUAGUCUCGGGAAACUGGGGGUAAUACCGUAUACGCCCUUCGGGGGAAAGAUUUAUCGGAGAAGGAUCGGCCCGCGUUGGAUUAGGUAGUUGGUGGGGUAAUGGCCUACCAAGCCGACGAUCCAUAGCUGGUUUGAGAGGAUGAUCAGCCACACUGGGACUGAGACACGGCCCAGACUCCUACGGGAGGCAGCAGUGGGGAAUCUUAGACAAUGGGCGCAAGCCUGAUCUAGCCAUGCCGCGUGAGCGAUGAAGGCCUUAGGGUUGUAAAGCUCUUUCAGGGGGAAGAUAAUGACUGUACCCCCAGAAGAAGCCCCGGCUAACUCCGUG
rnacentral:rRNA from 1 species